ensembl:lincRNA
AUGCCCGGUGGGACCGCAGUCUCACCCCGCGCAGCUGCGCCAGCUUCCCCACCCGAAGGAUGGGGUCCGGCAGCUCCGAGGAAUACAGCAACAGACCUCUCUUUGGAACUGAACUCUCCGGGCAAGCUGGUGCAAUCCACACCCUUCCCCGGCAGUCCUGCGUCCCCACGCUUGAUGCACCGUGGGGCCGCGGCUCCACGGGAUGUCGGGCAGAGAGUUGCGGGGACGACCAGGCCGACUGGUUCCGUGGUCUACCCCGGAGUGAAAGUUAAAAAUCCAGUCAAGGAACAACUGCUGAGAUUACGGCAACAGAAACAACAGGUGCUCUUUGUGUUUGUCUUUCUCCAAUUGUGUCUGCCCUCUGACAUUUCAUUGUCUGUUGGUCAUCGUCUCAUCUGCUUAUUUGUCGUCCAUUUGUUUGUUUUUCCUCUUUAUUUUCUUUUUAUUUUAAUUUCACAAAGUGGCCGAUGCUCAAAGAUCGGUUUCCCCUUUGGUGUGUGUAUGUGUCUGUCUCCAUCAGACUUACUGCAUUAGACAUAAAAUACCAGUAAAAAGCUGACUUCCUCAAUGCAGACAAAUCUGGAUGUCGAGACAUCGACUUAUUUAAUAUGCAUCAUGGUUGUUCAAUGGCUCAAAAUUAUGAAUACCCCUGACAAGGCAAUAAAAAGAGAAGGUUCAAUGUCAUACUUGCCUUUUUUAAUUGGAUAAGUGGAGAAUAAAAUAAAUGUAAUCAUUCAUUUAUUUCCUUAUUUUCCUUUAGCUCCUUCAAAACAGAACGACUGAAGACCUUCCAGGUGAGGUUUCCAUAUAGGGAUUGAAAUAUACAUUCUGGGAAAAACUUUCUUCUCCCGAUAAUGUCAUCACCUCAUCCACUCUCAAACUCAUCUUCUCAUAGAAUGACCAGCUCACAAUCUCAUCAAUUCACUGCCUUGUUAACCUUUUACCUCAUUAACUGACAAGCCUGCGGUGUUAUCUUCAGCCAGCUGCUACCUUAAGGCUCAGUCACACCUUGACGUUUUAGCCAGCUUAUGCCGAUUUUUGGAAAAUUUGUCUAAAACGCUGGUACACGUCGAAUACGUUAUGGGUAAGUUUUGAUAACAUUGAGAGCACGCUGAAAAACACUGCCAUACGUCGUUGUAUGCUGGCUUUAAACGUUGUACUUUUCGGUUGUCCUCAAAUUUUCCAUGCUUGAAAUUUUAAGGCUUAUCCCAGCGUAUGACUCACACGUUCCGCAUAACGCUGGCCAUAAGUUGUAGGCACGUCACGCGAUCGUUGACACACGUUACUUGUGAGUUAUUCACAAGUCGAAACACGUCGAGGUAAUGGUUAGCGUACCCGAAACUUAUUUCUAACCUAUGAGUAACGUGUUGUACUCACGUUAUGCGAUCGGUGACACCCAUCGACACAUGUUACUUGUAAGGUGCUCAUAAGUCGAAACACUCAAGGUAAUGGUUAGCGUCAGUGUUCCAGACUCCCUGGUUUUUUUAUUUUUUUAUUUUUUCUUCCUUCUUCCUUCCUUCCUUCAGUAUGAUGGUGAUUUUGACACUUCCAUUUCUCGUGCGGUUAUAAUAUAAUAUAAUUAAUAGGCUGACGCUCAACGAUUUAAAUCAUAACCACACUGUACACUGAACACCGUCAUCCCGAAGAAAAAAAAAAACCGGGAGUCUGGAACACUGACGCUAACCAUUACCUUGAGUGUUUCGACUUACGAGUACCUUUCAAGUAACGUGUGUCGAUGUGUGUCAACGAUCGCAUAUCGUGCGUACAACUUAUUCCCGGGGGGGGGGGGGGGGGGGGGGGGGGGGGGGGGGGGGGGGGGGGGGGGGGGAGCGUGUGUCAUACGGCAAGUACGUCGUAAAAUUUUCAACAUGUUUAAAAUUACAAGACGUACUCCACUUAAUACGACGUACGAUAGCGUACUUUAGCGUUCUAUUCACGCAUACUAAACUGACCCAUAACGUAUUCGACGUGCGCCAACGUUUUAGACGCAUUUUUCAGAGGUCGGCAUACGCUGGCAAGAUCGCCAAGGUGUGACUGCGAUGUUGACACUUUCAUUUUUGCGGCGGUUAUGAUUUGAUAUGAAUCGUUGUGCGGCAGCCUUUUCCUAACCGACGUCGCGUCAUCGUCGGCGAUGCGUGCAUCGCGCUAUGCCUAAGUUAGACUAUCGUUGGCCAUAGGUUGUGAAGGCCGACAACAGGUUCAGCAUUCGUUGGUAUAAGUUAUCUCUAACACAACGAAACGUUCUGUGUCCGUUACGAAUACGUUAUGCAAAAGACCAAGUCGUUAUGAAUACGUCCGAAUAUUUUUUAAAAAAACAUCAAAAGUUCAACGUAAGCCAGCGUUUUACAUACAUUUUAAUACGUUGCCAUUGCUGGCUAAAACGUCAAGGUGUGACUGGGCCUUUAACAAUUAAGCCCUUACUGUCUUGAAUUUGAGCCCCUAUUGUGCCGUUAAAUAGCACCAGGUGUUUUGACUCAGCCCACCAUACUUCCGAGUUGGCUCUGGCACGGCCUCGCCGGUUGGCUCCGGCACGGCCGUGCAGGUUGGCUCUGGCGCAGCUUCACCGGUUGGCUCUAGCACGGCCUCACCGGUUGGCUGCUCUGUCUCACCAUUUCACUCAUUCAACCUUUUAACUACACAGUGAGAUUAACAUCUGCUCUGUAUCUUGUAAUGUCUUGGUUUGCAAGCACCAGAGCAGAAGCCUGUAGUUCAAUUUGUAUCUCGUUUUAAUUCAGUCGAGUUUAAAUUGCAGCCUUUUUGAGGCCAGAAGAAUAGUGAGCCCACCACCCUUGAGCUGCAAUCCCUCCCUUUCUGUUCACCAAUCCUCUCGAGCAUUGCCUCUUUUCCUCAACUCACCCCAAACUCUGGUGAUUAUUAACUGCAUACCACACAUUUUCCCUUACCUUUCUUAACUUUCUCUGUAACCGAAUGCGGUUUUUUUUGUCCACCCCAUAACCCACCUCCACUGUUCACAGAGAGUGAAAACCAACGCCGUUUGUGUAAUGGGAAGCGGCAAACUGACAUGCUCAGCCACAUAGACAUUCCUCCAUGCAAACGUCAAUCCAAGGAGGUAAGCAAUGGGAGAGUGUGAGGGACGCCAAAGCAACCUUUAUAACUUAAACAAUACUUUGGGUUGGGUGGAGUAGAGGGAGGAGUGAGAGUUUGUGAAGCAGGAGUUUAUUUUUGGUUUCUGCAGAGAAGACUUGAUGAGUAUAGAAAAUUGUGCCUUUGGUUGGAGCACACGUUGAGGCCUUUGAUGAAGGCGAGGUCCGAGGGUUCAUUUCUGUGUGUGCAGUUAUAUUUAUGCUGACUACCGCUGGAUCUGCUUGGGAAACGAUUAUUUUUUGUAUACAACAUAUCAGCUUAUGGAAGAGCAAGGAGAUGAAGACAAUUCACUGACAGUUGAGCUGGAGGGCAACAGGUGGAUACAAUAAGCAAGGGAAUGAAUGAACAGGAAAAGAGGAGAGAGAGGAGAAAAAAUACAGUAACCAGUUUAUUGGAGGGUUGGGUUUAGGUGUGGUUAAUUGGAUUGGUAAAGGUUGUGGCUUAGAAUGAGGGUGACACGAGAUGGUAGUAUAAGGAUGAAAAUACAAGUGUGAGGUGAGGAUACCAAGAAGAGAUGAAAGUAGGAAGGACAUAUUGUGUUCGGCUUAUGACUUGUAAAUAUGCGGCGUAGCUAAGACGAGACAAACAUAAACUCGGGAUCGAUGGCAGCAGGACCAAGUUAGUACGGAGAAGAAGAUUUGGGAACAGAUUUCGUGAUAUGAUUAGCAGUGCAGGGAACAAAUUACAACAGUUCCACAAAAGAGAUCCGGGACGGUAUUCUUAGCUUUUGAAGAGGUGUUUGCGGAGCUGAGAAAACCGUUUACACUCACAAAUAAAGUGCUGCUCACCAUCAUGAUAGGUUUGUUUGUUGAAAAAUAGAAACACAGACUUUUUCCUUUUCCUUUUCCAUUCGCGUUUGUUUUGCCUAACGAGAUGAUUGGUGAAAACUCGUGUUCUCUCCAGGGUCAAUCCUGGGAGCCGAGCGAACAGAUACCUGAAGAUGUGAUCAACCUCAUCAUUGAACACCAGCCCCAUUCUGCUUGUUCCGACUUCGUAUCGCCUCCUUGCACUAAGUCGACGCCCAGGUCCAUGCUGAGCGAAAGCCAAGUUUCAUUUUCAUAUACAAAGCAUGAUGUUCCCCAUGAG